GAAUCCGUAGUGUAGUGGUUAUCACGUGCGCCUAACACGCGCAAGGUUCCCGGUUCGAGCCCGGGCGGAAUCA
rnacentral:tRNA from 1 species